GACGAACGCUGGCGGCGUGCUUAACACAUGCAAGUCGAACGGACAGGCCCUGCUUUUGUUGGGUGCUCGAGUGGCGAACGGGUGAGUAACACGUGAGUAACCUGCCCUUGACUUUGGGAUAACUUCAGGAAACUGGGGCUAAUACCGGAUAGAAGCUCCUGCUGCAUGGUGGGGGUUGGAAAGUUUCGGCGGUUCGGGAUGGAAUCGCGGCUUAUCAGCUUGUUGGUGGGGUAGUGGCUUACCAAGGCUUUGACGGGUAGCCGGCCUGAGAGGGUGACCGGCCACAUUGGUACUGAGAUACGGCGCAGACGCCUACGGGAGGCAGCAGUGGGGAAUAUUGCACAAUGGGCGGAAGCCUGAUGCAGCAACGCCGCGUGCGGGAUGACGGCCUUCGGGUUGUAAACCGCUUUCGCCUGUGACGAAGCGUGAGUGACGGUAAUGGGUAAAGAAGCACCGGCUAACUACGUG
rnacentral:rRNA from 1 species